GGAUAUGAUGAUAGUAUUUGUCGCCCCAGUCUUACUUGCAUCUGCUGAUGCUGGAUGGUGAUUGACACUCUUAUCUGAUUC